rnacentral:rRNA from 1 species
GGGGGCAACCCUGGCGGCGAGCGGCGAACGGGUGAGUAAUGCAUCGGAACGUAUCCUGGAGUGGGGGAUAACCCAGCGAAAGUUGGGCUAAUACCGCAUGAGCUCUGAGGAGGAAAGCGGGGGACCGAAAGGCCUCGCGCUGCAGGAGCGGCCGAUGUCCGAUUAGCUAGUUGGUGGGGUAAAGGCCUACCAAGGCGACGAUCGGUAGCUGGUCUGAGAGGAUGAUCAGCCACACUGGGACUGAGACACGGCCCAGACUCCUACGGGAGGCAGCAGUGGGGAAUUUUGGACAAUGGGGGCAACCCUGAUCCAGCCAUGCCGCGUGAGUGAAGAAGGCCUUCGGGUUGUAAAGCUCUUUCGGACGGAACGAAAUGGUUACGGUCAACACCCGUGACUGAUGACGGUACCGUAAGAAGAAGCACCGGCUAACUACGUGCCAGCAGCCGCGGUAAUACGUAGGGUGCGAGCGUUAAUCGGAAUUACUGGGCGUAAAGCGUGCGCAGGCGGUUUCGUAAGCUGGAGGUAAAAUCCCCGGGCUCAACCUGGGAAUGGCCUUCAGGACUGCGAGGCUAGAGUGCGGCAGAGGGAGGUGGAAUUCCACGUGUAGCAGUGAAAUGCGUAGAUAUGUGGAGGAACACCGAUGGCGAAGGUAGCCUCCUGGGCCAGCACUGACGCUCAUGCACGAAAGCGUGGGGAGCAAACAGGAUUAGAUACCCUGGUAGUCCACGCCCUAAACGAUGUCAACUAGGUGUUGGGGAAGGUGACUUCCUUAGUACCGCAGCUAACGCGUGAAGUUGACCGCCUGGGGAGUACGGCCGCAAGGUUAAAACUCAAAGGAAUUGACGGGGACCCGCACAAGCGGUGGAUGAUGUGGAUUAAUUCGAUGCAAUGUGAAAAACCUUACCUACCCUUGACAUGCCAGGAACUCUGCUGAGAGGUGGAGGUGCCCGAAAGGGAGCCUGGACACAGGUGCUGUAUGGCUGUCGUCAGCUCGUGUUGUGAGAUGUUGGGUUAAGUCCCGCAACGAGCGUAACCCUUGUCGUUAAUUGCCAUUAUUUAGUUGGGUAUUUUAGCGAGACUGCCGGUGAUAAACCGGAGGAAGGUGGGGAUGACGUCAAGUUUUCAUGGCCCUUAUGGGUAGGGGCUUCACACGUCAUACAAUGGCGCAUACAGAGGGUUGCGAAGCCGCGAGGUGAAGCUAAUCCCAGAAAGUGCGUCGUAGUCCGGAUUGCAGUCUGCAACUCGACUGCAUGAAGUCGGAAUCGCUAGUAAUCGCGGAUCAGCAUGUCGCGGUGAAUAUGUUCCCGGGUCUUGUACACACCGCCCGUCACACCAUGGGAGUGGGUUCCACCAGAAGCAGGUAGCCUAACCGUAAGGGGGGCGCCUACCACGGUGAGAUUCAUGACUGGGGUGAAGUCGAAAUAAGGUA